AGUAGAACAAAGGCAUCAGCACGAUUCGCAUCGAUAUAACGUAAUUUAUUCCUAAAUAUAUUCUUUCUUUUAAUAUUCCUCGUUUUAAUCAAAUUAUUUUAUAAUUUAAUCCGUGAUAUUUUUAUCAUUAUCAAGACUUCUUUGCGUGGAAGAUUCAAGAAGAAUGUGAUAUCGAAUUUUAAGGACGCUUUGCUCUUGGAAAUUAAGCAGAUGAAGUUACGAAUAGUGGGGAAAUAUCCGUCCAUCUCUUGUGAAUUCAACAAAUAUUAUCUUGACAUGACGAGGCGGUUACGAAAAAAAAAAAAAAGAAGAAAAAACCAGACAAAAAUAGGAUCAUCUAUUCGUGGGAAGCUGUCUAUUUCCAGUAUGACAGGAUGUUUCGAGAUAGACCUAUGGUUGAAACUGGGGAGAUACAUCAAUUUUUCUUUUGAAUUCACGACGAUGAAAUCCCUGUCGGGGAAACGGCUUUUUUUUACCUCAUCGUAAUCCAGUAUGAAGUGGGUGGAAAAGAACUCCAUUUCGAUUCCCUCAUCAAUUAUGCAGUUCGCACGCUCAAUUACGAAACAGAAGCCGCGAUAAUUUAUAUAUAAUAUUUUAAAAACUUUGUGAUGAAUGAUUGUUCGCGGUGCAACUGAAACCAGGCACGCAAAAAACGCCUGUUAUUUAUGGAGUGGUCUAACAUUUUUCUAUAAAGCGAGAUAGCACGUGAGGGGGAGGUAAGUAAUUUUGCUCCGCCAAAAAUGGCAAGUCUUUCCCUCUCUGGGUGUUUCAUCAUUUAGAUCGCCCUAAAGAAGAAACAAAGUUGUUAAAGAAGCCUGACCCGAGGGUUACGAUUUAUGCAACUUUAAUUCGGCCGGAACAAUUUUUUUUUUUAAUCGGAUUAAGAAGAUGAAGAUGGGGAGGUUAAGUUUUGGCGCGCGGUUCGGUGGGACGCGUAUAACGGGAAUUUAUGUUUCUCCAGAAGUGUUUUACCAUUUUUAUAGCCUCUCGAGAAGCACCUGCGCCGAUCUAACGAAUGCAAGAUUGAAUAACAAAUCCGGAGCUUGACGCGGAGCUUCACACCCUCGGGAAACCGAAUUGUCCACGUACCUCGGUGAUCUGUAACAAGAAAACAAGAAAGGAAUUCGUAUUAUUAUUUCUUUUUUUCUCCCUUUUGUGAAAAAGUGACGAUAGAUUCAAAUAGAUUUUCAGAUUUUUUAAUUCAAGAUUUUUUUGAAUUCAGGAUCGUCGUUACUUGGCUAUGGAUUCGAGAAUAAAAUUUUGUGGAAAUCGUUUAUUAACAAAUUCAAUGCGGCAUCAAGGAUUGAAAGGCGUUCCUGAAUGGCGAAUAUCGAUUUUUGAUACGAAAUAUAAAAUGAAAACGAAAAAGGCUGUGUUUACUGAUGAUAAUAUCUGUAUUGAACGGGCAGUAUUGUAAAAGGAAAAUUCGGACGGAAAAAUCUUUUUCAUCUUUUUCACAUUUCUUAAAAAAGUUCUUUCAUGAAUAACGAAUCUUUAUGAUGUCAUCGAACAUGUAAAAUUCUUUAAACUUAAAAUUUUAUCAGUAUAUUCGAUUCGUGCAAUUUUUUUUUUUACUUUUUAAAUGCGAAGAAUUGCAUGUGUAUGCAAUCAUCGUAAAUAUUCUUUUGUCAAUUUAAUUUCACAGUUGUGUACGUUCAUUGUUUAUUUAUUAGGGAGAAUUAAUUGAAACUAUUUCUGUUGAUAAAAGCUUGAUAAAAUAUAGUGGUAAAUGAUAACGGAAUAUUACGGAAUAUCGUAAUUAUCAAUAUAUUCAAUGUAACGGAAACGUAAUUAUAAUUUUGACACAAUUGACGCAUCACUGUUCGUUGAACGUGUCAUCAUCAAUAUUCAUUAUCCCCCACGCGAGUCACGUUUCAACGCAUUACAAAAUCGAAAAUAAUCAAUCAAAUUUAUUCUC